rnacentral:tRNA from 1 species
GGGCCCAUAGCUCAGUUGGUUAGAGCAUCUGACUCAUAAUCAGAGGGUCACAGGUUCGAGCCCUGUUGGGCCCA